AAGAACAUAUAAAGCAUGUAAGAAGAUAUACUAAGUCUUUGCUGCCCAGAGCAGCACUGAUCAGGCUCAAAGCUCAGCUUCUUCAAGUCUCAUUUUUUCUACUUUUCCUGUAUAAUAAGUUAAUUCGCCUUGUGCUGCUGUGGCUAGCAGGAGACUAGGACUUACUGCAGAGGUUCCAGUAAUGUCCCCUUUCCCUGUUCUCUAUAUUUGGCACCCAAAGUGGAUGUGAAUCGGAUCCAUAAAUGAACUUGCCUGUGAGACAAACUCAGAGUAAAAGAGACAGCACAUAGAUCUCCCAGGACGAUUUCCAGACUUGGACGAGGGACACUGGUGCCAACAUUGUUUUAAAAAAAAAUUUAUUAACCCCUGCGGUCUCCAUAGCAGGGUCUCCAGCCGUGGGGAACAUGCUGAUCCACUGGACCCCUGCCACGACCACCACCUCUGGCCUCUUGGCUGUACUGCCCCCUGGUUCCACACUACAAAGACACAGAGGACAUUGGACCAGCAGACCACUGUACUGGAAAAUUAUUCUACUUUAGGAAUUUGUCAUCACAUAGAAGAAGCCACCCACAAUGCUGCAGCUCUAUGGAAAGAGAAUUAGGAAUACCAGUAUCUUUGGGUCCAAAUCACACUAAUUUCACCAUGUUUUCUAAAAAAUGUAAUGCAUUGUUCUCCACCAUUAGCUCCUAUGUCUAAUCCUAAUAGAUGCUAAAUUCAAGAAAAAAAAGAAACACCGAAUCAGCCUGCUGCAGACAGGCAGUUCUGUGCAUGCCCUACCAAGGUCCUGAGUCACACAGAAGAUGCUGAAU
rnacentral:lncRNA from 1 species